AAGACAGAUUCACGUUACCCUCAAAUAAACUAAAAAUAUUUAUAGUGUUGUGGCCACAGUCUAACCCUCUAGUGGGAAAUCCUGCAGGAGAGAUUCAAGUUAUCGGUCUGCAUUCCUUCUUUUACAAAAAUGAAAUAUUAAAUGUUGUGGAA